rnacentral:rRNA from 1 species
AUAUUGCACAAUGGGGGAAACCCUGAUGCAGCGACGCCGCGUGAGUGAAGAAGUAUUUCGGUAUGUAAAGCUCUAUCAGCAGGGAAGAAAAUGACGGUACCUGACUAAGAAGCCCCGGCUAACUACGUUCCAGCAGCCGCGGUAAUACGUAGGGGGCGAGCGUUAUCCGGAUUUACUGGGUGUAAAGGGAGCGUAGGUGGCGAGUCGAGUGAGAUGUGAAAGCCCGGGGCUCAACCCCGGGAUUGCAUUUGGAACUGGUUUGCUAGAGUGCAUGAGAGGUAAGUGGAAUUCCUAGUGUAGCGGUGAGAUGCGUAGAUAUUAGGAGGAACACCAGUGGCGAAGGCGGCUUACUGGACUGUAACUGACACUGAGGCUCGAAAGCGUGGGGGGCAAACA